AAUUGUUAUUCACCGUUUUUACCAACGAAGGGAAAACUGUUUCCACACCCUAUCUUCAGUCUGCCUUUGUUCAAUUGGUUUCUCUAUCAAUUAGAACCCAUUCUUUUCAAUCUCCAGCCUUUCCAAUCAUCUCUGUUUAUUUUAAGAUUCACUGAGCUUCAACCGCUCGCUAAAAAACAAUGCAGAUAAAAUAUAGUAAGAAUGGAAAUGGACGAAGAGGAUGUUAUGAUGAAAAACUUGUGUGGGUAUAUCUGAACUUGGGCUCUCCCACCUCAAUAGCUAGCUUGAUUAUUCUAUGGUACCCCGAUAGAGCGCGAGGAAGAGCUCACUAGCCGCAAGAAGAAAGCCUUCGCCGAGGCCUCUGGUCACCUCCGAACCCUCCCUUCUUGGAAGCAAGAGGUUAGGGAUGAAGAAGGACGGAGAAGAUUCCAUGGAGCAUUUACCGGGGGAUUCUCUGCUGGUUAUUACAAUACCUUGGGCUCAAAGGAGGGUGCGCCUUUCAAGACUCUGAAAUUAGACCUUAUCAUCUGCUACUAAAUUUUUCCAGUGAAAUUUAUGAGCUAGUCUGAUGAAACAUUCUGCAGGUUGGACUCCUCAGUCUUUUACAUCGUCCUGCAAAAACAGAGCUGAAGUUAAACAGCAGAGCAUUCUCAACUUCUUGGAUGAAGAUGAGAAAGCUGAAUUGGAAGGUCGAUCUUUGGGAAUAUCAUCCCAGUUUGACACACAUUUGGAUUUACAGCUGCUGAAUAUGCUCGUAAACAAGCUGAGAAGGAACAACAGCAGAGGUGUCCUUAGUACUUGUGAUUGACAUUCUUUGAGUGGUGAUUUUUUAUGGCAAUAUAUGGAGUUAACAAUUGCUGUUGGUGCCUAUUAUGAACUAAGAAUUCCAGAAAUUAAAAUUUAUGUUAUAUACUUCAUAACCGAUUUUCAUUUUUGAAUGACUGUAGCAUAAUCCUUUCCAUGUGGAUGAAAAUGAUAAGUUGUGAUA